UCGACAAUUGAUGGCCGCCGGCUUGCAUUGACUACCGUUAUACGACCAGAGAGAGGACAUUUGAGAGAUGCUAUCAACUACCAAUAUCUACCAUUAAAGAGACAAGGCUACAAGGGGCAAACAAAUCAAUGGCUACGUGAGGAAAGGGAAAACAAAGGGUAUGAGAAGGAAGAGAGUCUGCUUAUAGAGGAGGACAAGAAGCUGGAUGAACUUUUAAAUGAAGUAACACAGACCAGGCUGAGCUAGCCAAUCAGUUGUGUAAAUAAUACCAGGGAAUGGCAGGCAUGAAGUGAAGAAAGACAUGAUGAAGGUGGUGAAGAAGGCUACUAAACCUGUCAACUCAUUCAGUUAUACAGAAUUAUGUUACAUUACAUUCAACAAAGAUGUUUAGCAAGCUCAUAUGAAGCAUGCCCAUCAAGAGGUACACUGUUGAGCUAUAGCAGUAAUGUAAUGCAGAUUUCAUGAAUUCUCACUUUGAGGAGUAAUACCUAGGUUUGGCCAUUUUUGUGACUUAAAAUUAUUCCCUGCCACAUCUUAUCACAAAGUAACCUAUAA